UAUUAAAAUUUCAUCAAUUUCAAUUGUUAAAAACUGGUGUAGUUGACGAAAUAAUCAGAUAGUUACACGAAGUGUGCAACGUGUACUUCAUGCCAAUGAACAAUGAUCAAUUUUUAACAAUAGAAAUGGAUGAAAUUUUAACA
rfam:Gossypium arboreum cultivar AKA8401 contig_60501_1, whole genome shotgun sequence.